GAUGAACGCUAGCGGCAGGCUGAAUACAUGCAAGUUGUGGGGCAGCAGGUUUGUAGCAAUACAGAUGCUGGCGACCGGCAAACGGGUGCGGAACACGUACACAACCUUCCUUUAAGUGGGGAAUAGCCCAGAGAAAUUUGGAUUAAUACCCCGUAACAUUAUGAUGUGGCAUCACAUUAUACUUAUAGCUACGGCGCUUAAUGAUGGGUGUUGGGCUGAUUAGGUAGUUGGCGGGGUAACGGCCCACCAAGCCUGCGAUCAGUAACUGGUGUGAGAGCACGACCAGUCACACGGGCAAUGAGACACGGGCCAGACUACUACGGGAGGCAGCAGUAAGGAAUAUUGGGCAAUGGAGGAAACUCUGACCCAGCCAUGCCGCGUGGAGGAUGAAGGUCCUCUGGAUUGUAAACUUCCUUUAUAUGGGACGAAAAAGGGUCUUUAUAGGUCAACUGACGGUACCAUAUGAAUAAGCACCGGCUAACUCCGUGCCAGCCGCCGCAGUAAAAC
rnacentral:rRNA from 1 species